rnacentral:RNase_P_RNA from 1 species
UGUGAGUCGGGCGGCCGCGGGGAGAGAAAUCCCCUCGAGGAAAGUCCGGACACCACAGGGCAGGACGGUGGAUAACUCCCACUCGGGGAAACCCGCAGGAAAGUGCCACAGAAAUACACGGCCGAUGACGCAGCCACACGUGAGUUGCGAACAGGCAAAGGUGAAAAGGUGCGGUAAGAGCGCACCGGCGCCGUGGCGACACGGCGGCCAGGUAAACCCCGUCCGGUGCAAGGCCAAACAGGAUCGCUGACCCGGCCCGGCGAGAUCCAGGUAGGCCGCAGGUACAGCCGCAAGGCUGCCCACCGGUCAGAUCAACCGGUGAGAUAGAUGGUCGUCCCCGACAGGAUCCGGCUUACAGACUCACUAAAGAG